AGAGGAAUCGAGGUCGAUCCUGCUAAAGAAUAAGAAAAAGAAAAAGAAAAAGAAAAAGAAAAAGCAAUGCAAGAAACGCCUGAACCGAAAACAAAAAAAAAGAGCAAACGGUCAGGUGGAUAUUGCCAAAAGGGCAUUGGAAAAAGAAUAAGUUGCAGGAACCUUUGAUUCUGUUAAUCUGGUACUGGACAGCCCUCGAGGGGUCUAUGAG
rnacentral:lncRNA from 1 species